rnacentral:rRNA from 1 species
AUUGAACGCUGGCGGCAGGCCUAACACAUGCAAGUCGAACGAGUGGCGGACGGGUGAGUAAUGUCUGGGAAACUGCCUGAUGGAGGGGGAUAACUACUGGAAACGGUAGCUAAUACCGCAUACCAUCAGAUGGGCCCAGAUGGGAUUAGCUAGUAGGUGGGGUAAUGGCUCACCUAGGCGACGAUCCCUAGCUGGUCUGAGAGGAUGACCGGCCCAACUGGAAGUGAGACACGGCCCCGAUGCCUACGGGAGGCAGGCGUGGGGAAUAGUGGACAAGGGGCGCAAGCCUGAUGCAGCCAUGCCGCGUGUGUGAAGAAGGCCUUCGGGUUGUAAAGCACUUUCAGCGAGGAGGCGUUACUCGCAGAAGAAGCACCGGCUAACUCCGUGCCAGCAGCCGCGGUAAUUC